UUAGGACUGAGCUGUUGGGUACGUGAAUUAUUAGUCAACAAGCAAAGUCAUGUGUGAGGAAAGUGAGGGCAUGUUCAGUCAUGGGACAGUUGAAGAGUACUGGGAUGAGGGGCCCUAUAUCCUCUUGGUCACAGCCUGCUCAUUGAUCCAACAAACUCUCGGAAUUCUUUCGUUAUCAUAGAGUCCUAGACUUUAAUUGGGGGAUAGAGGAGGGCUGCCCUGGAUUUGACUCACUGUGACCUCAUUGCGCUGCUGUGUGCUCUCCUGUCAAUAUUCCUUCUGAACUACAAUUAGAUCUAGAAGUUCAUGACCUCCAAAGGUAACAACGUUAACAUGGAAGCCCACAUCCUGACUCAGACUUUUAAUUCUGAUGGAUCAUCUCCCUCCAGGAAGUGACUGCCCUCCGGUCCACAUUCACAAGGAGAAACACAGAGUUCUAAGCCUAGACUUUAAAGCUGCCAGGACUACACUCCUGUCCCCUUCACUGACAUAUGGAAAUGCCAGAAAAGAGGCAACUGGGUCCAUAUGUGUUAGAAGGAUUGUGAUUAGUUUUUGUCGUAUUUUAAACAGGAAGUUUUCUCAUUUGGAUUUCUUCAGCACAACCAAGAGGGCAAAGAGGAAAGCACGGUAUUUCCAACGGUCUCAGAAUAUUUUGUAGAUGAGGAAACUGAAGUUGAGAGACUGGCCAAUUCACCUUGAACCCGAAGAAGCUACAUAAGGGCAAUGAGUUGCAGUUCUCAAGAUGGGCAUGGGUUGCUGGGAAUUGUAGUCCUCCUGAUGGGCAGAAGCCAUGUUGCAAUGGGAUGUACUUCUAAAACACAAAUCUACUGACCUCCUAGACAUAGCAUAAGGGAAGAAACCAGACAGACAGGGAAUGCAGUGGACAUCUGUCCUGAGAAGCAAGCAGCAGGCCUUCAUGUUUCUGGAACACAAGUCCCAGGCUAAGGCAGCUGGGCAGGCUGAAGGCUCUGCUUUUCUGGAACUCUUAUUUCAUGAGGUGUGUUUGCUAGAAUUUCAUCAGAGGUGGAUGCAUUCAGCCUUUGGAAACCGGUUCAAUCCUGCCAUCCCGAGGCUUCAUCUGAGGCAUCCCCUAAGCUGCUUGGGCUGCAGUGCUCAGGUCCAACUAAGGCAAAGAGGUGAGAGGCCACUUCUCAGGGCUGGAGGCAACCUGAGAGAAGAAUGGGUACGACUGCUUUGGUGAGCACUAGCAGCAUAAAUAAGUUUGGCCACUGGGAGUACAGUACAGGGGUGGGACAACAACCCCGUAUUUGAAGACCUACUUCUAGCACCAGCAUCAAGAAUUCAAUCCAUCUCAGGACUCACAGAACCCAGGACAACUUGCCACCUUUGAGCCACAUAGGCAUUGAAGAGUGUAUAUAGAAGCAACAGUAAACAGAUUAACAGAGGCUAAUACUGUGAUUGAUUGACAUUGGCAAUGGUUG